rnacentral:tRNA from 1 species
UGGCUCAGAGGUUAAAGCGUCCGCCUGCAAGGUGGGAGACCCAGGUUUGAUCCCUGG